rnacentral:misc_RNA from 1 species
GGUAACAGACAAAUUAAAUUUAACGGCACGAGUAUUGCAGCCCAAGAAAAACAACAUGAGGAGUUGUGUUCCCAGUAAAGUCGAAACAUGAGAAAAUGCUAUGGCUGAAAUGAUUUUCAAAAAUUCAACUCCCUCGGAAAAGAAACCAAGAAGCCAGAGAUUACACAGAUAAUUAAUUAAAGUUAAGCAAUAGCUCUGAAACAGUACAAUUGAACAGACAACAAGUACAUUAAACAAGGUUUGUGACUCGAAUGAAGAAAAGGAAUGCAAGACCAAAAGAGGCAUUAUUUAAACCAAAUAACCAAAUGAAAGUUGGUUAAUUUUAAAUAGGUGUAGUUUGACAUGUAUUCAGCAAAAUUUUGAGAAGCAUUCCACGUGAAGACAAAGCAGUUAAAAGGUUCACAUAUUUAUUCCAAGGUUACUAGAACAGCAGAAAACAUGUGAUUAAGAUGUCUGGGUU